rnacentral:lncRNA from 1 species
CUUUUUAUAGCCCCUGAAAGAAAUGUAAAAAUAAUACAAACUUAUUUUCUUUUUCUUUUUUGUUAUUUCUUUUUUCUCUGCAUUUCUCCUGUUGUUUGUUUGUGUGCUGCGCAGGUACGGCCGUACGAAGGUGGUGGCGUGGCGCGCGUAGAGAGGAAGACCGAAGGCGUUGGAGGCUGUGUGGCGCGAUAGGCUAGCUAGGGUUUCUGUUUGUGGUUUUGGGCUAGGGGUAUUCGUGAUUGGGCUAGGGUCUAGGCAAAUUGGGUUUAAAUUUUAAUGGGCCUUAGUGGGUUAGCAUUUAAGCAUUUGGGCCUAGGUAUAUGGACUAUUUCUGGACUGUUAUUAAUUUUAUAUGUGGUUUAUAUUUUGAUUUGAUUCACGGGCCGGGCAAAUUGGCCUAGGUUUAUAAUGGCAUGUAUAGGUUGUUUUGUAAUGGUAUUUAAUGAAUGUGUUAAUGUAAGUUUUGGUAAUUUUAAGCCUUGAAG